UGCUUCGGCAAGCAGAAGAAUGAACAUAGCUAAAGCGCAACAAAAACAAGCAAGACAUGCAGAAAUUACUCUCACAGGCAAUAAGCUAACCAGGUUCUCUUUUCAACUCAAAAGUUCAAAGUUAACAUAACAAUCUACUAGUACUACAGAGAGUAUAAACUUUUAGACGGCAAGCCUCAUCCCAAAGAUUUAAAACAGCAGGCGACAAAACAUAUAGCUCUCAAAUAUAUCUUGCUUUCAGCGGGGCUUCAGAACAGAAGUCAUGCAGUCCACUGCCCGCCGUAUCCAGCAGCAGUAGCAGGCUGAGGCGACACGCCCUUUGCAACCGCAGGCUGUGGGUUUGCAGCAGGUGCAGCAUAGCCACUUUGAGCUGCCGGUGGCGCAGACUGAUCAUAACUUGGUGGGUUUGUAGCUGGUGGCUGGGUGUAUCCUGCCUGACCAUAUCCAGGCUGACCAGUUGUCGGUGCAGCAGCAUAUCCUGACUGUGGGUAGGCAUUUCCAUAGCUGGGAUCAGCUGGGGCUCCCUGAUAGCCAUAGUUUGCGUUGUUUUGAGCUGACUGAUCACCGUAUGCUGGCUGCGACGCAGGAUACUGCGCAUAGCCGCCCUGCUGACUGUACCCUGGUCCUGCCGGAGCACUCUGACCAUAUGCUGCUGGCCCUUGCCCACCCUGCUGUGAGUAACCCUGCUGAGCAUACCCAUCAGGUCCAGUUGGGUAUGUUUGACCAUAAGCAGGAGGUUGCUGGGCUGGCGGAGCAUAAGAUGCAGGGGGUGGUGCCUGGUAAGCACCAUCUGCAGGUGCACUGCCUCUGGGUGGCCAUUGUCCAGGUCCACCAUAUGGAGGUCUAGCAUAAGGAUCUGGCUGUUGAGGGUAACCUUGCUGCGGACCGGCUGGUGGCUGCCCAUAGUACUGCUGGGCUGGAGCUGGAGCACUGUACCUAGGAUCACCAUAUCCAGGGCCAUAGUUCUGUGGAGGCGCAGACUGUGGAUACUGAGGCUGUCCAUAGCUUGGAGCUUGUGAUGGGCCAUAGCUGUUGUAGUUACCUAGUCCAGGG
rnacentral:lncRNA from 1 species